UACAGAGGUCCCAAGCGUUGUUCGGAUUCACUGGGCAUAAAGGGUGCGUAGGUGGCCAGGUAAGUUUGGUGUGAAAGCUCGGAGCUUAACUCCGAAAAGUCAUUGAAUACUAUCUGGCUGGAGGGUCGGAGGGGAGACUGGAAUUCUCGGUGUAGCAGUGAAAUGCGUAGAUAUCGAGAGGAACACCAGUGGCGAAGGCGAGUCUCUGGACGACUCCUGACACUGAGGCACGAAAGCUAGGGGAGCAAACAGG
rnacentral:rRNA from 1 species